rnacentral:rRNA from 1 species
CAGCAGCCGCGGUAAAACGUAGGGUGCAAGCGUUAAUCGGAAUUACUGGGCGUAAAGCGUGCGCAGGCGGUUUGUUAAGACAGAUGUGAAAUCCCCGGGCUCAACCUGGGAACUGCAUUUGUGACUGGCAAGCUAGAGUGUGGCAGAGGGGGGUGGAAUUCCGCGUGUAGCAGUGAAAUGUGUAGAUAUGCGGAGGAACACCGAUGGCGAAGGCAGCCCCCUGGGCCAACACUGACGCUCAUGCACGAAAGCGUGGGGAGCAAACAGGAUUAGAUACCCCAGUAGUCCCUGUCUCUUAUAC